rnacentral:rRNA from 1 species
GACGAACGCUGGCGGCGUGCUUAACACAUGCAAGUCGAACGAUGAGGCGGUGCUUGCACCGUGGAUUAGUGGCGAACGGGUGAGUAAUACGUGAGUGACCUACCUUUGACUCUGGGAUAAGCCUGGGAAACUGGGUCUAAUACCGGAUACGACCAAUCUCUGCAUGGGGUGUUGGUGGAAAGCGUUAUGGAGUGGUUUUAGAUGGGCUCACGGCCUAUCAGCUUGUUGGUGAGGUAAUGGCUUACCAAGGCGACGACGGGUAGCCGGCCUGAGAGGGUGACCGGCCACACUGGGACUGAGACACGGCCCAGACUCCUACGGGAGGCAGCAGUGGGGAAUAUUGCACAAUGGGCGCAAGCCUGAUGCAGCGACGCCGCGUGAGGGAUGACGGCCUUCGGGUUGUAAACCUCUGUUAGCAUCGAAGAAGCGAAAGUGACGGUAGGUGCAGAGAAAGCGCCGGCUAACUACGUG